UACGGGGGGGGCAAGCGUUGUUCGGAAUUAUUGGGCGUAAAGAGCUCGUAGGCGGUUUGUCGCGUCUGCUGUGAAAUCCCGAGGCUCAACCUCGGGUCUGCAGUGGGUACGGGCAGACUGGAGUGCGGUAGGGGAGAAUGGAAUUCCUGGUGUAGCGGUGGAAUGCGCAGAUAUCAGGAGGAACACCGAUGGCGAAGGCAGUUCUCUGGGCCGUAACUGACGCUGAGGAGCGAAAACGUGGGGAGCGAACAGG
rnacentral:rRNA from 1 species